UACGUAGGGGGCUAGCGUUGUUCGGAUUCAUUGGGCGUAAAGGGUGCGUAGGCGGCGCGGUAAGUCGGGUGUGAAAUCUCGGAGCUUAACUCCGAAACUGCAUUCGAUACUGCCGUGCUUGAGGACUGGAGAGGAGACUGGAAUUUACGGUGUAGCGGUGAAAUGCGUAGAUAUCGUAAGGAAGACCCGUGGCGAAGGCGGAUCUCUGGACGGCUAACUGACGCUGAGGCGCGAAGGCCAGGGGAGCAAACGGG
rnacentral:rRNA from 1 species